UACGUAGGGUGCGAGCGUUAAUCGGAAUUACUGGGCGUAAAGGGCGCGUAGGCGGCAAAUUAAGUCAGCUGUGAAAUCUCCGAGCUUAACUCGGAACGGUCAGCUGAUACUGAUCUGCUAGAGUGCGGAAGGGGCAAUCGGAAUUCUUGGUGUAGCGGUGAAAUGCGUAGAUAUCAAGAGGAACACCUGAGGUGAAGACGGGUUGCUGGGCCGACACUGACGCUGAGUGCGCGAAAGCCAGGGGAGCAAACGGG
rnacentral:rRNA from 1 species